AUUACAACAAGGUCAUGGACUACUAUUUCUAAUUCUUCUCUUUAUUUUUAUUUUCUUUUUCUCAUGGCAUAUGUUGGAGCUUGUAGU
rnacentral:miRNA from 1 species